rnacentral:rRNA from 1 species
UACGAAGGGGGCUAGCGUUGUUCGGAUUUACUGGGCGUAAAGCGCACGUAGGCGGAUUGUUAAGUCAGGGGUGAAAUCCUGGAGCUCAACUCCAGAACUGCCUUUGAUACUGGCAAUCUAGAGUCCGGAAGAGGUGAGUGGAACUCCUAGUGUAGAGGUGGAAUUCGUAGAUAUUCGGAAGAACACCAGUGGCGAAGGCGACUCACUGGACACAUAUUGACGCUGAGGUGCGAAAGCGUGGGGAGCAAACAGG